rnacentral:rRNA from 1 species
GAUGAACGCUGGCGGCGUGCCUAAUACAUGCAAGUCGAGCGAACGGACGAGAAGCUUGCUUCUCUGAUGUUAGCGGCGGACGGGUGAGUAACACGUGGAUAACCUACCUAUAAGACUGGGAUAACUUCGGGAAACCGGAGCUAAUACCGGAUAAUAUUUUGAACCGCAUGGUUCAAAAGUGAAAGACGGUCUUGCUGUCACUUAUAGAUGGAUCCGCGCUGCAUUAGCUAGUUGGUAAGGUAACGGCUUACCAAGGCAACGAUGCAUAGCCGACCUGAGAGGGGGAUCGGCCACACUGGAACUGGGACACGGUCCAGGCUCCUACGGGAGGCAGCAGUAGGGAAUCUUCCGCAGUGGGCGAGAGCCUGACGGAGCAACGCCGCGUGAGUGAUGAAGGUCUUCGGAUCGUAAAACUCUGUUAUUAGGGAAGAACAUAUGUGUAAGUAACUGUGCACAUCGUGACGGUACCUAAUCAGAAAGCAACGGCUAACUACGUG